rnacentral:misc_RNA from 1 species
AGAAAAUGAAAGGUUAUGUACAUUGGCUCCUCCGUAAAGCAUGUAGUGCAGGAGGCCUCAUGCAUGGGGACACCAUUUAUUUUUCACUAGGCUUUCAUUGCCCAGAAAUUUAAGUAAUUGGCUUUCAUUGCCCAUAAAUUUAAAUAAUUUAAAUUGUGGAAAGAUUGCAAAAAUUCAAGGGAAGAAAUGUAUAUUACUGAG